UACGGAGGGUGCAAGCGUUGUCCGGAAUCACUGGGCGUAAAGGGCGCGUAGGCGGCUCAUGAAGGCUGUGGUGAAAGUCCGGGGCUCAACCUCGGAUCGGCCGUGGCGACUCGUGGGCUGGAGCACUGUAGAGGCGGGUGGAAUUCCGGGUGUAGCGGUGGAAUGCGUAGAGAUCCGGAAGGACACCGGUGGCGAAGGCGGUCUGCUGGGCAGUUGCUGACACUGAGGCGCGACAGCGUGGGGAGCGAACAGG
rnacentral:rRNA from 1 species